rnacentral:Y_RNA from 1 species
UGACAGUACAUUUGGUAGUGGAUUAUCAAAACUUAUGAAUAUUUGUGUCACUAAAGUUGAUAUACAACCCCCCACUGCUGAAUGUGACUGGCUUAA